GACGAACGCUGGCGGCGUGCCUAAUACAUGCAAGUCGAACGCUUUUUCUUUCACCGGAGCUUGCUCCACCGAAAGAAAAAGAGUGGCGAACGGGUGAGUAACACGUGGGUAACCUGCACAUCAGAAGGGGAUAACACUUGGAAACAGGUGCUAAUACCGUAUAACACUAUUUUCCGCAUGGAAGAAAGUUGAAAGGCGCUUUCGCGUCACUGAUGGAUGGACUCGCGGUGCAUUAGCUAGUUGGUGAGGUAACGGCUCACCAAGGCAACGAUGCAUAGCCGACCUGAGAGGGUGAUCGGCCACACUGGGACUGAGACACGGCCCAGACUCCUACGGGAGGCAGCAGUAGGGAAUCUUCGGCAAUGGACGAAAGUCUGACCGAGCAACGCCGCGUGAGUGAAGAAGGUUUUCGGAUCGUAAAACUCUGUUGUUAGAGAAGAACAAGGAUGAGAGUAAAACGUUCAUCCCUUGACGGUAUCUAACCAGAAAGCCACGGCUAACUACGUGCCAGCCGCCGCAGUAA
rnacentral:rRNA from 1 species